CUUUUUAGUCCAGGCUCACCUAGUUCUUAUCAGCUUUUCUCACUUGAGCACCUCUCAGCAGAAUGCACCUCCAGUCCCACCUUCUAUUCUGAAAGGGAAAAGGAGAUAGUAAGAGUCAAAUAGGAGAAAGCUUGGAUGCACUUUGCUGCUCCCACCAAAAGCUGUGUUAUUUGCUCUUUAAGUCCUUGGGACUCUCUGGGUGUGCAAUGGAUGAGAAGUAGGCAGAUACUGUAAUUAACUAAACUAAAUCUACUUAAAAGAUUUUUAAACACUUACCCAGCAUAUUAUGUUGUGAAUGAGAGAAUGAUAGAAUUAUAUUUUCUGGAGCAAUGUACAUUGAUCAUCUUUUAUUUUCAGCAAAAAUCCUCUUGUGCUUCUAACACAAUAACAUAUACAAAUUAAGUCAAGAAGUACCAGUGUCAUCAUUUCUCUAUUAUAGAAUCCACUCAUAUUUUAGUUAUUCCCAAACUCUUUAGAGAUGUCAUAUUUUAAGUUCCAGGCACAAAACCCUUCAGAUGAUGUAGCAGUUGUUCCUUCUUUUCCUAAUGAGGCUGACAGCCACCAGAGGCCCUCCAAGUCCAGAACUCAACAAUAAAGCUGGAAUGCUAACCAGCUCUCAACAGUGCACCAGCCCAGAGGCUCCAACAGCAGGAGGAGACCAUUUUGUAUGGCUUGAUCCUUCCAAGGUUGGGAGUCAAACAACCUGCGGAACAUGCCAAUGUGGCAUAACUAUGGACUAAAGAAACAUCCUCCACCCAAAUCUCCCAGGCCAGGAAUAAGGAGGGCUAAAGACCUCUCUACAGUCAGCCACCUCCGCAUUGCAUGUUUAUAUUGUCAAGUCGCUCCUCAAUAACAUUCAUCCCAUCUCCAGACUGUCUCAGAGCAGACAGAUCACUCAGCUGGGAGUCAACUCCCCUUCAACUCAUCUUCAUCGUGAUACCAUAUUAUCCUCCUUAAAAGAGCAUUAUCGGCCAGGUGUGGUGGCACAGGCCUGUAGUUCCAUCUACUGGGGAGGCUGAGGUGGGAGGAUCACUCAAGCCCAGGAGGUCAAGGCUGCAGUGAUCUGUGAUUGUGCCACUGCAUUCCAGCCUGGGUGACACAGCAAAAUCCUGUCUCAGAAAAAAUAAAAAGGCAUUAUCUCAUCA
rnacentral:lncRNA from 1 species